rnacentral:rRNA from 1 species
UACAGAGGUCUCAAGCGUUGUUCGGAUUUACUGGGCGUAAAGGGCGCGUAGGCGGCGCGAGAAGUCGAGUGUGAAAGCCCCGGGCUCAACCUGGGAAUUGCGCUCGAUACUCUUGUGCUUGAGUUCGGGAGAGGAGCGUGGAAUUCCCAGUGUAGAGGUGAAAUUCGUAGAUAUUGGGAAGAACACCGGUGGCGAAGGCGGCGCUCUGGACCGAGACUGACGCUGAGGCGCGAAAGCGUGGGGAGCAAACAGG